ACCAGCAGCCAUAUCACCCUGUAGUCCAAGACUGGUUGCCCACUGAAGCUAAGCCGGCUUGAGCCUGGUCAGUACCUGGAUGGGAGACCACCUGGGAAAACUAGGUUGCUGCUGGAA
rnacentral:rRNA from 1 species